rnacentral:rRNA from 1 species
CCUACGGGACGCAGCAGUGGGGGAUAUUGCACAAUGGGCGCAAGCCUGAUGCAGCGACGCCGCGUGAGCGAAGAAGUAUUUCGGUAUGUAAAGCUCUAUCAGCAGGGAAGAAAAUGACGGUACCUGACUAAGAAGCCCCGGCUAACUACGUGCCAGCAGCCGCGGUAAUACGUAGGGGGCAAGCGUUAUCCGGAUUUACUGGGUGUAAAGGGAGCGUAGACGGCGAUGCAAGCCAGAUGUGAAAGCCCGGGGCUCAACCCCGGGACUGCAUUUGGAACUGUAUAGCUAGAGUGUCGGAGAGGCAG